AUGCCGACUUGGUCUAUUUAGAAUAGAAAUUUCCUUUUUCUGGAUUUCUAGAUAUUUUUAAAUCUUUAAAAUUGUUAAAAGCCCUAUAUUCUCCACUGCCUCUCAGCUCCUAUAAAUACCUUGAUAGGGGUUUUCGUCCCAACUCAUAUUAAUCUAUAGCGUUUUAAACUGUUACAAUAGUUUUAUAUGAGUUUUAAUGGUUUUUAUUUAUGAUCGUAGGUGGAUGCAUGUAAGCUACGUUAUGAACCGAUCGAUGCAUGAAAAUUUGGAUCCUAUUUCGACAGAUAUAUUGGUGGAUGCAUGGAAGCUACGUUGUGAACCGAUCGAUGCAUGAAAAUUUGGAUCCUAUUUCGGCCGAUAAAUUGAUUUAAUUGGCGACGUGAAACGAUGCAUAAUAAUUUGGAAUAUGUCAACAAGUUGGAUGUGUGGAACAACUACGUGACUUGACGCAUGCAAAUUUGGAUCCAAUUUAAACUGAUCGAGAAUUAAUUAGUUUCUAUCUUUUAUGUCCCGAUUUUCUGUUUUUGUUAUGAAUCCACCUUUUCGUCCCCAAUUAGGUGUGGAAUUUGAAAGUUUGCUUCGGACGGAAGCAUUUUUGCUAUCCAUUGGGGAAAAGGGUUGGGUUUAGUUCUGUUCUACCUAUAAUCUAUUAGUUUGAUCAAUUUAUGCUUUUUUGUAUGCUGCACCAAUCUUUUAGUAUCAAAAUAUUAAACAAGCUAGGGUUUAUCUCUACACCUUUCAUCUAAUUCUAAUCUUUGACAAUUUUGUGCUUUUUUUGUUUGCUGCACCAAUCUUUUAGUUUCAAAAUAUUAAACAAGCUAGGGUUUAUCUCUACCCCUUUCACUAAUUCUAAUCUAUUUUUCAUUUUUUAAUCUUUCGUUUUCAGAAUCGGGGGAUCUAAAUUUUUUUUUAUAUAUAUAUUUUACCACCAUGAGUUCCUUGAUCCAAAUCAUUGAUGAAAAGGAAGGGGACGUUUAUCUUUUUUAGAUGAGGGCAAACGGUAGAAGAAGAGUGGUAGUUUAGAAAAGAGAAAAGAAAGCUUAUAGGUUAUCCACUAUAUAACAAUGAUUUAUUAUUAUGUUAAUAAUUUUUUAUUGGGGUUUAUAUCUUAAUUUUAGUAACUCUCUUUCUCUUGAAACUCUUUAUUGACAUUAGAUUUUCUGCUCAUUCACUCAUUAGUAGAUGUAGAAUUCUUCUCAUAAUACGAUGAAGAAAGCAUAUACAAAAUGGAUGGAAGUAAUUGGUGAAGGAAGCUAAAGGAUUCGUAUGCUCAGUCUAUUACACGCACCAGAUAUAUAGAGAUGUGUUGCAUGAGCUGGCUAUGGCUAAGUAGAUGUAGUUUUGAAUCCCAUUCAAUGAAAAAAAAAAGCUAGGGUUAAUUAUUUUUUUUAUUUUUUUUUGUCAUCAGCUAGGGUUAAUUAUAUCAUAUGAUUCAUGAACGUGUGAUCUCUUUUAACCUUAAUGUAUUUGUUUUAUGAUUUAGUGGGGUUUUUUUUUUGUUGGUUAUUUUAUGUGAUUAACAUGUAAUCUCCACGUAAAUAAUUCAUUAUUAUUCAUGUGAUCAAUCCUGCGGGCACAACAA